UCAUUAGAUGGCUGAAAGAAAGUAUUGGUCUCUUAAACCAAAAAAUAAUAAUUAACGCCUAUUUCUAAUG
rnacentral:tRNA from 1 species